AUUCUGCGUGAGGGAUAGCAGCGGAAAGCCCGCAAUGCAGCGCAGCGGAAUGAGGACUUGCAGCGGAUAGCCCGACGCAAA
rnacentral:misc_RNA from 1 species